GGGGAAUUUUCCGCAAUGGGCGAAAGCCUGACGGAGCAAUACCGCGUGCGGGACGAAGGCUUUUGGGUCGUAAACCGCUUUUGUUAGGGAAGAAGAACUGACGGUACCUAACGAAUCAGCAUCGGCUAACUCCGUGCCAGCAGCCGCGGUAAUACGGGGGAUGCAAGCGUUAUCCGGAAUUAUUGGGCGUAAAGCGUCCGCAGGUGGUUUAUCAAGUCUGCUGUCAAAGCGUGGGGCUUAACCCCAUAAAGGCAGUGGAAACUGAGAGACUAGAGUACGGUAGGGGUAGCGGGAAUUCCCAGUGUAGCGGUGAAAUGCGUAGAUAUUGGGAAGAACACCAGCGGCGAAGGCGCGCUACUGGGCCGAAACUGACACUCAUGGACGAAAGCUAGGGGAGCGAAAGGGAUUAGAUACCCCUGUAGUCCUAGCUGUAAACGAUGACAACUAGGUGUUGCGCGUAUCGACCCGUGCAGUGCCGUAGCUAACGCGUUAAGUUGUCC
rnacentral:rRNA from 1 species